CACUCCUGCGGGAGGCAGCAGUGGGGAAUUUUGGACAAUGGGCGAAAGCCUGAUCCAGCAAUGCCGCGUGAGUGAAGAAGGCCUUCGGGUUGUAAAGCUCUUUUGUCAGGGAAGAAACGGUGAAAGCUAAUAUCUUUUGCUAAUGACGGUACCUGAAGAAUAAGCACCGGCUAACUACGUGCCAGCAGCCGCGGUAAUACGUAGGGUGCAAGCGUUAAUCGGAAUUACUGGGCGUAAAGCGUGCGCAGGCGGUUUUGUAAGUCUGAUGUGAAAUCCCCGGGCUCAACCUGGGAAUUGCAUUGGAGACUGCAAGGCUAGAAUCUGGCAGAGGGGGGUUGAAUUCCACGUGUAGCAGUGAAAUGCGUAGAUAUGUGGAGGAACACCGAUGGCGAAGGCAGCCCCCUGGGUCAAGAUUGACGCUCAUGCACGAAAGCGUGGGGAGCAAACAGGAUUAGAUACCCGUGUAGUCCC
rnacentral:rRNA from 1 species